UUUGAUGACAACGGCUAUUCAGACCCGCUCACGCUGUGUGACUAAAACAUGCAACAUAAUAUAAACACACGUGGAUAAGGUAGCAUGAAUAACACGUGUAUAUUUGUCAAAGCUGCUGAAGAGUUGUCAAAUCGUCCUUAAUCGACGUCAGGGUGACCGCAGCCCUUUCAUCUGUCGAGUUGGAUCAGAUUCAUUCGUUUAAUAGGCGAAAGAGGGAAGAGUUGAUCUCUGUACCACCACAAUUGAUAUUGACAUCAAGUGCAACUCAAACCGUAACAGAUCUUCGGAUUUAUUUGAAACUUUGGUGGUCAAGCAGCACAUUGCCCAUGACGAUACAGCAAGUGUUGUUUAUACAGUUGAAAAAGUAUUUAAAUCCUAUACAUGAUACACUGGACUCUUGCUUGAAUAGGAAAUGCUUGGCAUCAACAUAUACUGUUGUGGAACGUCUUGGAACUCUCAGAUAUUCCAGUGGGAAUCACUAUGAGUGACCAUGAAACUAUUCCAGUUCAUACUGUUACAGUACGUUUUCCAGGCUUGGCAUCUGGGAAAUGUGAAGAACGUUUUAUAUUUUAUGAGUAACCAUGACCUGUGAAUAAACUUACUUAAUAGCU